CAGCUCCAUGGUCGGGGGUACGAUCUGGAGGGCUGGUUCUUUGGGCAUCACUUGUCUCCAUGUUAGAACACACAGGUCACCAUGCUCAAACCUGUAAAGCAGGCUGACAGUAGUGCUAUACCACUGAGGUGCCAUUGUGCAGUUGAUCAAGCUUUCAGGCACAACAUUGAGGCCACAGUGAAGACAACCAUAUAUUGGGAACUUCUUUGGAUCCUGGAACACAAUUUCCUCAAUUAGGGAUAAGAAACCACAGACAAUUCAGGCACUGAAGAUUUCCAGUAUCUGCAGUAAAUCAUUGGGAAUGUUACUCUGGAUUACGCAUACAAGAAUCUGAAGUGGAUCUUGUACCCUGAAGGACUUGACUCAGCAGGUCCAGCUUUGGAGAGGAGUCACACUGAGAAACGCGACGCCGAAGAUGCCUUGGGAUUUCUCUGAGACACCGUCCUAAAACUCAAACAUAAUCAGAGUCGUCUUUAAACUACAGCAUUUUUCAGAAGUGCAUUUUGCUGAGUUUGCUUUGCAGACCCAGCACAUCUUCAGAAUUUUCUGUAUUCACACAGAUACAUACUAUAUACAUGCUGCAACUGAUUUAAAAUCUAUCCUGAAUUCUCCAAAGCCACACAAGCAUGAACAAUGAAGGUGAUUUCAUACAGGUUCUCUGUGGUAUCCUGGUGAUACUUGUGUGCUCAGCAGCGAAAUGAAGCCAAUCAGUAACUUGAGUUCAUCAAUAUUUUAUUGGAAGGAUUUAGAAUACUAUUGUGUUGCACUGAAUUGAGCCAAAUGUGACUUUCAACAGAGCUCAGAGUUAAAAAGUCAAAAAGUCUUAAACAGACUAGGGAAGAAAAACAUAUGCAUUUACAUGGAGCCUUUCAAAACCUUAAGACAUUCCAAAGCAUGUGAGAGUCAACGUAGCAUCAAAAGAUAAUGUUGGUAUCUCUCAUUGCCCAAGUGGAGCACGAGUGGCUUUAAAUAGAUUUGUGUACAGCAGGUCCAGUUACAGCAUCUCUCACUAUUUCCUUACAAGCCAGUUUGGAGGGUUAGCACUUCAUAUGAUGCUAAUAACAAGCUGACAUUCUACUGCAGUUAGCACAACUCCAAAUGUGGAUUGGAUCUGAAGAAGUAUUGCUGAUGAUCAAUAACACUCUCCUUAACAAGGCGGAAGCUACUUUCCUUGUUCAGUCCAUUCAGCGUACACGGUUGUGAUCCUACCCCUGUUGCUGAAAUAACAGAGGACAAGUAACUCUGUACAAGGGAGUGAAAGAGUGGAAAAUGGAGGAGACAGCAGAAGGGCCGGUGGAACAAAUACAGAGCAAUAACCUUUGAAGUGCCAUUACCUAUAAAAUAUACUCAGCUUGGCUCACUGCUCCUUCAUAAUUUACAAGAUGUGUGCAUCAUUCACAACAAUCAAAAAAGGUUAUCUUACUACUUAAUCUUCAAGUAUACUGCAGCCAAAUUUAGGUGAGGCAGAUUAUAAGGAUUGUAGGACUCCUUCUCAGAGGGACAUCAUUGAUUCAGAGUGUAUUUUAUGACAAUCUAAUGGCUUCCUUGCGACUACUACUGACUGAAGCUAUUUAUUUAUAGAUUUCUUUUCCAAAUUGAAUUCCAAAUCUGAAGAUGUUGCAGUUCACUCUCUCUCUGGAUGACUACCUGAGUGAUAAAGCUGCUAAAUGAAUGACCACUUUUGGUGUAUUGAAUACAGGUGAACGUUCGUCAUGACAUUUUGGAAAAUAACCCUUGAAACGAUGAGGGGAAAAUGAAACCUUGAUUUUAUUUGAAAGACUGCACCCUUGACUGGGCAAUUCACCCUCUGUACUGCUUUC